CUUUUGGCGUGUUUGUUGCUUUUUAAGUUUUUCUUUGAGCACAUCUAUUUCCUUUGUUAGCUCCUCACGGUCUUGCAUUGCCUCUUGAACCAUGAAUGAUAA